GCACCCGACUCGGCCUUCAGUCCCAGAACAGCGCUGAAGGACCCACAUCAUCACGCAGUCGAAACACUUUCGCUCUGCUGACGCACUCUGGCACUGUGAACCCUGCAGCUUGCUGGUCAGUGAACCUUUGCCUGCGCUAGGCAUGGCAGUGCACCCCUGAUGAAGGUGGCCCUGAGACUCCAACAUUGAGCUCUCGCAAAUUGUUUUAAACGAGUUUAAAAGUCUUUUUCCUGUGCGAGCUCCAACCUGAAAGGUAGCGUUAUCAAUUCGCAAAAACGACAAGCAGACAAGCAGUCAGCAGCAAUGACCAUGGUGACGUCGAAGCAUCAUUCUACCUGCUACUGCUAGCCAGGGCGUGCUCAUUGAAGGACCAUAGGGCUGUCCUGCUGUCCAGUGAUACUGGUUUGGUCCUUGAGACUGCGGAGAAUGGAAGGUUGCUGAUCAUUCGAUCUUCAGCGUGAAUGUAUAUGUGCUGACCUGAGCCUUUUAAAGAAUAGCCCUGAUAAGGUGAGUAGCUCCGUGAUUCCUUGUUUGAACAUCACAUCAGUCAGUGUUGUUCUAAUUGUUGAACUUUCUGACUCACCGGUAUCUUGCCUAUGAUUAAUUUUGUUAGUGUUGGACACAAACAACGAACAACUUGUACACUCUUUUUUCAUUCCCUGUUUGGUCUGGCUUGUAUUUUCUACAGUACUAGUAUAAUAUUCCGAGGCUAGUACGACCAUUGUGUGUUGUUAAUAUAUUAUCCUGUGGAGCAAAGAGUGUUGUAAGAACACUAAUAGAUGUCAUGAAUAAACAUGUACAUAACUAUGUAGAACUAACGUGAGGAACCGCGAAAAUGGAUAUAUAGUUUGUCUCCUCUCACUAAAUUUCUCUUUGUGUGUAUGCAAAUGUAUCUCUCCAUCUCUCCAACUAUCCCUCUCACUCUCUCCCCUAUCUCUCUCUCUCGCUCUCGCUCGCUCUCUCUCUCUCUCUCUUUCUCUCUCUCUCUCUCUCUCUCUCUCUCUCUCUCUCUCUCUCUCUCUCUCUCUCUCUAUCUCUCUCUCUCUCCCCCUCUCUCUCUCUCCAUCUAUCUAUCUUUCUCUCCUUCCUCUCCUCUUGCACUCUCAUCAUGUUAGCACGAAGUAUCAGGACUUUCUCUCCUCACUUUGAAAAUUACUUCUACAGGAGCAGCCACAUUUACCCCGUGUAGCUUGAAGCUCAGUAAUGAACCUGUUGGAUCGGAAAGAAUCCGGAUUUCUUACUGUUGGGAAUUAUUAAUCAACAAUCAGCAGCGAAAUAUUUGAAUAUUUCUUUCUCUCUCUUACUUUCUCUCCUAGUUUGCGACGUUUCUUUAUUUCUCUCUUUCUCUCUCUCUUUAUCUCUCUCUCUCUCUCUCCCUCUCUCUCUCUCUCUCUCUCUCUCUCUCUCUCUCUCUCUCUCUCUCUCUCUCUCUCUCUCUCUCUCUCUCUCUCUCUCUCUCUCUCUCUCUCUCUCUCUCUCUCUCUCUCUCUCUCUCUCUCUCUCUCUCUCUCUCUCUCUCUCUCUCUCUCUCUCUCUCUCUCUCUCUCUCUCUAUGCCUAUUCGGCUUUAACGGUCUUACCUGCGUUCACAGCACGUUUAUCUGACGUCCACAAGGGUGCUGUUAUCAUAACAAUCCUGCCUGGUGGUGGUGGUGGUGGCUGAGGAGUGGCAGGUGAUUGCCAAUAGUGAGGCUGGUAGUGUGGCUGCGGGGGUUGCUGCAACCCCUCGGAACGCGGAUGAAUGUGUUCUUUCUGAUGGUCUUCAUCAUCGUCAUCGAUCUCCUCGUGUCUGCGCUUCAUAAUGGCGUACUGCUAGGCCCAAUAAAGGACACUUUCUGGCUUAAAUUUCAGUAUAAAAUCGUAGAAAGGCCACCAACAGCUGGGGGAACACACUUCAAUCAGCAACAACCCUUUGUAAAUACGACGAGCGAUAUACUUCCUGGCUGAAGAGAGAUUCAACUUUCAAAGCAUGCAUGUAUUCCUUUCUCCUGCUUCUGCAGCUGGGCAGUCGCCAUUGCGCGCGCAUUUUUCGGAAGUAUUAAACUUGAAAUGCUAAUCAAUGGAGGUGCUCAGGGCAUAGGGCGGAUACGUGUCUUUGGAUGUUUUUGUGAACUUGGGAAUGACGUGUUGCAUGUCAGGUGUAGCGGGCCGGCCUUCGAACCAUGUAACCUUUCGACGAUGAAAAUCAAGGCUUUUCCUGGUUAUCGAGGGGCCUGAAGUAUCAUAAUCUCGGUGCGCAUGUUGGGUUUUGGCAUCGCGCCAAAAUUAUUAGUCCCAAAUCCUCUCAAUGCACCACCGCGUGCGAUUCGUGUUUGGGUCGUGCAAAAGUUUUGUGUGCCAGCAAUAAUGUCGUGCUUGUGUUCGGUAGCGCUGUCGGGGUGCGUUCGAUCCAUGUAAACAGUCAAGUACAUGUAUGGGAUGAUCAUCAUGAUUAGGUGUGUGUGUGUGUGUGUGUGUGUGUGUGUGUGUGUGUGUGUGUGUGUGUGUGUGUGUGUGUGUCCAUGCACUGAUGAUGCAGGCAUGCACACAUACAUGUAUGCUCCCUCUGCUGACUCAGAUCUGAAGUCGAUCCAAAGCCUAGGCUAGGGACUCGCGAGUCUUCGAACUGCAUGUCGAUCACGUGGAGUUCAUACGGCAGACAAACAAGUGACUGAAACGAAGCGAUUCAAGAAGAUAAGGUUCGGAGAAAUGCCACAUCAGCUGCUCAGGUGAUGCUAGAAAAUGUACGCGUAGCACCCAUCGAGCUAGCUCCAGUGUGUGAACAGGCGAUGAACUGAAGCAGCUAAUCAAGAACAUCAGAGGCAACGGUCUCUCUUAGGGCACCACCAGCAUUCAAUGCGGCAGAAGCCAUGACUCACGAACAAGAAAUACGUCCUGCUAUGGUUUGAGUGGAUGGCCACAGUAUGUCAAUCAAUGAGAAGACGGUGGGACAUAUUGUCCUGUUCUGUCUGCAAUUACAUGACAGAACGUGGCACAUUUGAAGACAAGCUGGCACGACUGAGAACUUUCGAUGAUCCCGAACAGAUUGGCACGCCUGAAAAUGGCCUCCGGCAUGGCUGUGAGGGACGUACUGCUACAGUUGGCAUUUGGGAUGUACAUCGGCACCGCUUGUAGAAAGGGUUGAAUGACAGCCAUUCCACGCCCGGGAUGCAGGGUGACAAAGAACACGUAUUUAUUGCCGUAGCUAUGCAAAAGACAUCACUUCAGUGACUUCUGGCGCUAGCCAGGGUCCACACUGCUUUAAUUCCGUGUUUGUUUGUUUGUGCCAUCGGCAUGCCUGGCGCUAUCCCGUACCUGUCCCGUACCGUACCGUACCAUCAAAGACAGCUGGCCGCAAACGGCAAAAAGGGCUUUCAAAUGCAAGAUCUUAAUGUGAAGCAACUUGGAAGAAUGAGUAUGUAUGCGAAGUGCAUCGGGAGAAUGCAUGCAGGACGAUAGUGCGGGUUCAAAUCCUAGGUUAUGUCUUGAAAAAAAUAGGAGAAAGGAAAAUUUAUAACAUCCCUAUCAGGGGCGUAGGAGGGGUUUUGGAAGUGGUACGACCAAAGGUCGGUGCGGCCAAAGGCCGUGUCGGAGGGGGGUCGGAGGGACCUCCCCCGGGAAAAUUUUGUAAAAAAGACACAAAAUCCUGCGUUCUGGGAACUCCUGGCACACUUCUGGCGCAGUGUACAUGUAAUGUGCAGUCGAGUCGAGUACAGUACUCAGUACGACUGCAGAUGCAUAACAGAUCUACGAGUAGAUCUACGAGUCUAGAAAAAGGUCAAAGUCUGAUGCGCAUAUGCAUCGAUGGAUCCUGAUUUUUUUAUUACGGUUUUGCACGCUUCGGACGGACCACACUUUUCGAAAAGUGGUACGGCCAUGGUCGUACCAGUCAGCGGGUGCUACGCCCCUGCAUAUGCUUUUUUGCCUAGGUCAUCAAGGUGGUAGACCGUGUCGUAUUACCCUUGACCAUACCUGUCCCAUACCGUACCGUACCAUCAAAGACAGCUGGCCACAAUAGUCCGUGGGCCAAACCUGAAAAAAGGCCUCCUAGAAAAAUCUCGUUCCGACUUUUGGGCACCGCAAUUUUAUUGGCCACCUCUACUCUAGAUACCUUACUGAGCAGGAUCCCGGUUGUUGUCACUCUGACAACUUUCUGAAAGGUAUCCAAACAUCGGCUUUUCCAUGUUGAAAAUUUCUCUCUCGGCGGCCAUUGUUUUGUAUGCAUUCAUCAGUGCAUGCACGUUGUGUGUGGUGCUGUGAAAUGUGAUUAUGCACCAGAAUAGACGAAAGUACACGAAUUCAGUGUUACCUGUCUUGUCAAGUCGUGAUCUGGUACGAUCUGGUACACUGCACACUCUCUCCAGGUGUGCACCCGGACCCACAAUUCUUACUCUCUGCACUGCAGUGCAGGCGUGCACCCACUAUACUUGGCAGCUUCCUUCUCAGUUUGAACUUUCAUUUCGAGAUUGGUUUUUGGUUUCAGUUUGUACUAGUAUGUCUGUGGUCAAGUAGCACUAGAAGUAAGCGUCGUGAUGACUUUAAAGUGUCUCAUUCAAGUUCCGGAGUGCGGUGAGGAGGUGAAGCCCUUCACCCAGACAACGUGGAAGAAGGUGUGUGAAAUAUGCACUAGUGAAGCUGUUGCCGUAGAAAAUUUAGCUGAGCUCAGGGAGUUAUGUCGUAGUGAUGUUUGGCCUGAAAACGGAGGCUUCCACAGAAAAUGUUACCAGAAAAUAACGAAUAUAACCCUCCGACGAAGGCAGAGUACCCCUCAUCUAGCCAUUCGGAAGAACUGUCUGUGCCGGAGUCGAUAGAGCCAGAAGCCAAGCGCCGCCCCAGCACGCGCGCCGCACUAGCCGCGCCCGUCGUAGCUCCAGGCAUGAAGGGCUGCAUAUUUUGUGGGAAGGAGAGACGCCAGCAACCUGGCCGGAAGAAUUGUAGUCCAGUCCACAAGCAGGUGUGAAUACGCACACGCUGCAGCGAAGCUGUUAUGUACAUGUUAUACGCAGUAAACGUCAGAAAAGACGAAAAGGUCCAAGUUGCAAUUGGUCAAUCCGUCUCUGGAAUGUUUGCGCGCGAGGUUAACUACCAUAAACAAUGCUACAGGAAUUACACGAGAGCUUAGUGCCCCUGUUUGCGAAGCCAUGGUGGGGAUGCAUGCCUAUACAGGUUGUGACACAACCAGUGCCUUCAGUGGCAGAGGGAAGAAGCUAGCAUUUCAGCUGAUCACCAAGCAAACCCCAAAAGGCGAGCUGGCUCGAAAGGCUAUGGCAGCACUCAGUGCAUCAUUUGACGCACUACCAGCUGACAUUUUCGCUUGCAUCGAGCAGUUCACUUGCGGUAUAUACGGCUUCAACACCGCCACAUCUAUCAACGAAGUGCGAUACCAGAUGUUCUGCUCUCGCUCGACGCAAUCCAGCUCCCUUCCUCCUUGCCAAGAUGCGCUGCGCAAGCAUGCUGCAGGAGCAAAUUACCAGGCCAGUAUCUGGCACCGUGCUCUGGAAGCUUCCGCGGAUGUCCCACCACCGCAUAGCCCUGGUCAAGGGUGGACCAUUGAUUCUGGCGGUGGUUUGGAAGUGGACUGGCUCAGCUUGGCACCAGCACCAUCGAGCCUGAUGGAAUUUGUUUCAUGCGGUUGCACGACAGGCUGCAAGCACGGACAUUGCUCCUGCCGGAGACAGCACCUCAAUUGCACGGAUGCUUGCAAGUGCUCUCACUCGGGCCAGGAGUGUGGGAAUGGGCAACCACUGGAGCUUCAAGUAACUGCAGAACUCAGUGAAGACGAGGAUGAAUAAGAAAAAGAAUGCCCAUCCUGACAGGUAUGUAUAAUGUGAUUGAAGAUUGAGUGUUCAUUAGAGUUCAGUGAUGCACAUUGUACAAUCAUGAACAUGUACGUGACUGUACAUCAUGCCCAAUUCAAGUCCUUCUGAUGUUUGCCCAGUGUUCAGUAUCAAUAUCACAUGUGGACUAAAAUCAAUGUGGGAGAUAUAAAAAUGCACGGGAAUGAUCAUUGCGAUUAUUUUUCAUUGCCAUCGGCUUCGGCCUCAUUUCCUCUGUGCUGCGCUGAUGAGUCCACAGAGGACGAACUAGUUCUGUCCACACGUUGGGUGAUCAUUGGAAUUGGAAUUGUGUAUUUUCUGUGACCUGAUUAUUCUCUACAGGUCGACCUUUUUUGGCAACAUGAAACAUAUUCCGUAUGGCUAAUCCUGCAGUAUAAGUCAGUGUUAUGAUGACGAAGUCUCCCUCGUACACAGCUGCAACAAACGUAGUCUUCUGGGGUCACGCGGUCCUUCAGGUCUGGUCUGUCAGUGACCUGUGCUGAUGGUCACAGUGUUGUGAUCCUUUCUCUGGACUUUCAGAUUAUUCUGCAACCCAUAUAAUAACUAUGCAAUGCAUAAAUGCGGCUGUGUGUUCUGCCUUAUAUCUGUAUAAUGUACACCAUUUUUGUAUUGAACGGUCUGAGAUAUUCUUAGAUCAGACAUAGUAUUCUGCAAUGUACAGUACCUGCAUGCCACAGCCAGUCCUAUUAUGACCUGAUAAAAUGGUAUACAAUGACUCGAAUGAUGUUUCGAAGUAGUUACAGUAUUGUGCUCGACACACGCGGUCUUCUUGCACACGUGUGUGUACAUGAACAAUAUGGACGUAUUGGGCAUUUUGUUUUUCUUUAUUUUUCAUGUUAUAUCAUAUUUUUCUCUUUCCAGUUGAAUCUGGGAAGGAGGCACUCUGGAUAUAUGACCCUGUGGAAAAAAUAAUAAUACCAAAAACAUUGUAAUUAGCCAGAAAAUCCAAUUUUAGGUUCUGGUUACCAUGGCAACCGGUGCUGAUUUGUAUUUCACUCGCCGUGCAACCCUUGGACAAAUUCAGGAAUGACAACAAACGGGUUUUCAAUGUAUGCCAGUCCAUCUAUCGACUGGGCCAAAAAAAUUGCGGUGCCCUCUUACUCGGAACGAGAAUUCACAUUUUUGUCACUUGGCCCACAGACUACAAUAAUAUUCAAAUAGGGCUUUCAAAUGCAAGAUCACAACGUGAAGCAACUUGGAAGAAUGAGUAUGUAUGCGAAGUGUAUUGGGGGAUGCAUGCAGGGCGAUAGUGCGGGUUCGAAUCCCAGGUUAUGUCUUGAAAAAAAUAGGAGAAGUGAAAUUUUUUAACAUCCCUAUGCUUUUUUUGCCUAGGUCAUCAGGGUGGCAGACAGUGUCGUAUUACCCUCAAAUGCAAAGAGAAAGUUUGAUGUAGCCAAUCAAUGGAAAAAAAAACAUUUCCAUCAGUUCUAAUAACAUGCAUGAUGAGCUAGGCAAAAAAGCAUAGCGUAGGGCCCUGAGCUUCCAAGCUCUCUCGUGGUCUUUUGCAUCAUUGUGCAGUAUUGGAGAACUAAUCUACUUAUUGUGGACACGAUGGAAGCUGAGCUCAGUCUUAGCAAGGUGAUGGACAACAAGACAAAUCGCGUAGAUUCUCGGCUGCAACCGUUUGCCAAUGCUCAUAUCCACAUGCACUUGACUGGAUGAAGACAGUUGGGGGAUGGCUUCACAAUAAGCAACACCGGGUACUUCUACAACAAUGCCUCACUUGGCAAUAGCUGCACGUUCUUGAGAGCAUUUUGGACGGUACAUCGUAUAUCUACACAGGGUAUACAAUGUGGGGAUUUUGUGUCGGGUACUGGGCCGUUUUUGUUCUAUUCCGCUGUGGGGUAAUUCUGUCCGACAGAACUCCCGCUCACACAGUCCCUUAAUUGGAUUGCUGGGCUUUUGUAAAAUUGUUGAAUUGGGACUAGCAGAUAUUACUGGCAGAAAAUUAGCUGAAACCAGGGUGACCCUAGCACAUUCCAAUACUUAGCUGGUGCCAAAGACGCAGAUCAUGCUAUUUGUCUUUCUUGAGUUUGUGAACUGUAAAUAUGACUGUGUGUGUGUGUGUAUGUGUGUGUGUGUAUGUGUGUGUGUGUGUGCAUUUAUGUGUGUGUGCUUGUGUGGUGUGGUGUGUGUGUGUGCGUGUGUGUGUGCGUGUGUGUGUGCGUGUGUGUGUGUGUGUGUGUUUGCAACCCGUGCCAUCCUUGGUGUAUCCUGCCCAACACAGUGAUAGGACAGGCUCACCAGGGAGGAGAUCGCAGCAGAGUUCGACUCCCUGCAGACAACGGUGAGCUUCUGCGGUGCCAUCGUCUUCGCUGGCUCGGUCAUAUUGACGGGAUAAAUUUCAACCGUCCUCCCAAGCAGGUCCUCUUCGGGAAUCUUCCGUCGUGGCGCCUCCGGUCAUGGCCCCAGGAAGAUAUGGCGUAAUGAUGCUAGAUCUGACCUGGCCGUGGCGGGGAUCCCGGAAAGUGACUGGUACGAUAUGGCACAAGACAGGGCAGAGAGGAGGGAGUGGUCUCGUCGUCGUCGUUGACCUCCUCCUCCCCCAUCAGAGUCAGCGAAGAGGUUUCAACGCAUGUGCGGACGAACAUUUCGCCGGGCGAGUGACUUAAAGCGUCACUCCCCAUAUUGCUCAGCUCACCCGCUAUUAUCGCACUGGAGAUGGGCGUAAGGGGUCCAAUGUCUAAGGUGUAUGAAGCGCUCUGCACUCUGGUGCAUUGAACCCUCUAACUUAUCAAAGCUGUAUUGACCGGCCCUGAAUAGGGUAAUACAUCCAGCCUAAAACCAGGUAUCGAACUUACCGGCUCAGCGCAUCAAAGUCAACGUGUUCUAACUGCGAUAAACACAGCGAGCUUUGCUUUGUUUUUACUGUGAUAAUAACAAUAAUCUCUGUGCAUCGCAUGUCCCCGACCUCUUGCUGUUUCUUGUUCAGUACAUUGAUUAGCUCUGUGCAUUGUGGGCAAACUUAUUAUAGUACCGUAUUUUCCGGAGUGUAAACCGCACUGGAGUAUAAACCGCACCACUCCCCCCCCCCCCCCAUUUUUCCCUCACGAAAUACAGACAUCUUUUAUCACCGUUAAUUUGAUCAUCAGAGUAUACCGCACCCACUUUUCUUGGGCAAAUUUUGAGUGUUCAAAGUGUGGCUCGUACUCCGGAAAAUACAUGUACAUGUAUUGGCUUUCUUAGUGCAAUCGUUGGUCAGGUUUCCGGUCAAGUGCUGGCUAUUGAAAUAAGAUGUCCCUAAUAAUAA